ensembl:lncRNA
GGUGUACCUACCGUGGGAGGCCCCUCGAAGCCUACCGUUGACUAUGUACAGACCCAGGAUGUAACAGAGCUGUAGGAGUUGUGACCCGUUUUUGUUGUUGUUUGUUCAUUAUGUUGUCGUAGUUGUGUCUAGAGUGACAAAUCUGAGGAGGGAAUGCUGUCCCUUACCUAACAGAAACUCCUGUUUUUAGCUAGGAAGCUCUAACACCUAACCUCUGACCUCUAGCACCUAACCUCUGACUCCCGGCUGCUGUUUUUAGCUAGGAAGCUGGUUGACUUCAGCUCUUACUUCUAAGUUACUAUAGUUACCUUGACUUCUGCUUUAAUAAUGAACACCUCUGACCUCUAACCUCUGACCUCUGACUCUAGGCUGGCCUGACGGCGCUUGCUCUCCAGACAUUCAUCAACCUGUUCCAAAACUUCAGCCUCUUCACCGAUCAGCUCGAUGACAGCGCGGUUACCACGACAACGCCCGCAGCACGCCCGUCGCCAACGGAGUCACCAUAGUAACCACCAACCCCUACCAGCAGGCCCCUCCCUUCAGCGAAACUCUGAGUCUGGACCCUUCUGCCCUCACACCUGCUCCUGUCUUCUAGAGGAGAGAGACGGAGAGAGUAGAGAGAAGAGAAAGAUGGAGAGAUGGAGAGAGAGAGAUGGGGAGAGUAGAGAAAGAUGGAGAGAGGAGAGAGGGAGAGAAGAGAGAUGGAGAUAGAUGUAGAGAGAGGGGGAGAGAGGAGAGAGAGAUGGAGAGAAGAGAUAGAGGGAGAGAUGCAGAGAGAGAGAGAAGAGAUAGAUGAGCGAGAUGCGGAGGAAUGGACAGAGAGAAGAGAGGGAGGAUAUGAGAAAUAAAGAGAGAGAGAAUAGGAGAGAGUUUCUAGGCGUGAGACCGUUGUGACAUGACAGAGGUUGUAGCUUCAAGAUGUUGUGGGUUAGCCUGAUUGGCCGACUGAGGGUCAGGUGAUGCUGGCUCUCUGUCACCAUGGCAACUGCUGGCUCAGUCUAGGAUUCACACAGAGCAGGAACUAGAGCACACACACAGAGGCCAUUUUACCCAGAGAGGUAUAUAACAUUGUUGUAAAUAUAGCAGUCUACAUCACCUUAUGAAGGUCCUUUGGAACUCAGUAUUAAAGCUGUAGGAAACAGAGAGAUUAGAGAGAGAGAGAGACAGAGAAACAG